rnacentral:rRNA from 1 species
CCUACGGGAGGCAGCAGUGAGGAAUAUUGGUCAAUGGCCGGAAGGCUGAACCAGCCAUGCCGCGUGAAGGUCAGUGCCCUAUGGGCGUUAAACUUCUUUUGUGCGGGAGCAAUAAUGGUCACGUGUGGCCAGACGAGAGUACCGUACGAAUAAGCAUCGGCUAACUCCGUGCCAGCAGCCGCGGUAAUACGGGGGAUGCAAGCGUUAUCCGGAUUUAUUGGGUUUAAAGGGUGCGUAGGCUGUGAGGUAAGUCAGCGGUGAAAUGCCCCCGCGCAACGGGGUGAAGUGCCAUUGAUACUGGCUGGCUGGAAUGCGGAUGCGGUGGGAGGAAUGUGUGGUGUAGCGGUGAAAUGCAUAGAUAUCACACAGAACACCGAUUGCGAAGGCAUCUCACGAAUCCGCGAUUGACGCUGAUGCACGAAAGCGUGGGUAUCAAACAGGAUUAGAUACCCCUGUAGUC